rnacentral:lncRNA from 1 species
CGUCCCAAAGCCCAAAUUAGAUACGGCAUCUACCAAGUCGGCAGAAUUUGUGGCUAACUUGCGCCUUCCCACUGUUAAACCACAAACCCUACCCAUUUUACAACCAGCUCCAUCUAAGGAAGAUUCCUCCACACCAGUCAUUUACAACCCAACAGCUUUCCCCAACACCCACAAGUUUUCAGUUAAGAAUCCCUCUGACCAAUGCAGAGGCAGGCAGGCUGCAGAAGCAGGGAAGGUGGGCGAGGUCACUGGGGUCCCGAUCUACAGUGCAGCACGCUGCGCAGACG